UUUUUUCUUUUUCUGCACAGUAGAAUAUCUGCAUGCUUCUGGAAGAUAGAGGUUUUUCUGUAUAUAGCCCAGUGCCCGAUUUAGAGAUCCCAAGAUGCUCCUGUGAAUAAUGCCUCUCACAAAGGAGGACUUAUUGGCCAGAGGUCAACACAACAAAUCAAGAGGCAAAGCUAGAAGAUUAAGACUUUCAUUAGCACCAGCUGAAGUCAGCUGCCAGGCAUGGCCUUGUGAACAAGGAAAUAGCCAAAAACAAGGGAAUCCUGAAAUUUGAAGAAAGUGUUUCUGGAGGAGCAAAUGGAAUAUUCAGGACUUGCAGGGGAUGGGAGAGUUCCAUGAAGAUUCAAAAAGAAAACUGUUGGAGCCAGAGGGAGAUUUUCUGGUCUUCUUAUCUAAGACUCUGAAAGAGCUGGAUGAGAGAGAUACUCUUUUCAAUCCUUUCUCCUGACUGAGCUGAAUGAAGUUUCUUGCCCAACUGAAGACAACCCUUGGACUAUAAUUUUCCCUUAGGGGGACUCAAAGCUAUAAUGCUUGAAGAGAGUUUUGAUCCAACCCUCAAAAGUUGUCAAAGGAAAGAGAUAGCAGGGGAUCUCCUUUCUUUCCCUCUACCUUGAGUCUAUGUGAUAGGAGGGGGAUUUUCAGUUCAUCAAAAGAAGAAAGCUGUGAGGGGUAGACUUACCCUCUGGUCUGGGCUGACUGACUCCAUUAAAGCUGCCCAGCUUAGUGGAGGAAGAGGAAGGUGUCAUACAGAACUCAGUCCUGAGAAACAGCUGCUUUCUGGUCCCUUCAUCAUUUAAGUUCCCCUCUCUCUCUUACAGCCUUUAAACUCUCUUGAUUUAUAUUGAGGAUAUUGGAUUCUAUGCUAUGAUCCUGCCUUGUUAGCAGCUUUCAUGUUUAUUCAUCUCAAUGUUUUAUGGCUCCUUUACCUGCCUUAAUUAUUAGACUGUUCCAAAUGACUCUUAGUGGUUCUUAAGCCUCAAAUCUCUUCUCAAAGAGAGAAAACUUUAUAUUUCAGAAUAUCCUGGAUAAAAUAUGAUGUGAAUUUGAAGAGUCUCAAAGAGAGGAGACAUAUGGAGAAGAAAAAGCAGUUUUGGCCUGUUCUCAGGGAAUGACCAGUGAUUUCAAUAUGGAAGUUAUUUGUAUUUGCCUUGCUGGAAAGAUGAGUAUUAUUGGGAGGGUUGUAGAUGGACAGGUGUCCUUGGAUCCCAGGACAGGGAAUUUUAUUUGCAUUUAUGAGGCAUUAGAGAAUGGUGAUGGAUCAUAGGAUCAUAAAGCUAGAACUGGCUGGGGCACCAGAGGCCUUACUUUGCAGAAAAGGAAAUAAAGACCAAUGUGAAUAAGCA
rnacentral:lncRNA from 1 species